rnacentral:rRNA from 1 species
UACGUAGGCAGCAAGCGUUGUUCGGAGUUACUGGGCGUAAAGCGCGCGUAGGUGGCUUCGUAAGUCCGUUGUGAAAGUCAAAGGCUCAACCUUUGAAUGCCGAUGGAUACUGCGGAGCUAGAGUACGGAAGAGGCGAGUGGAAUUCCUGGUGUAGCGGUGGAAUGCGCAGAUAUCAGGAGGAACACCAAUAGCGAAGGCAGCUCGCUGGGACGUUACUGACACUAAGGCGCGAAAGCGUGGGGAGCGAACAGG